rnacentral:tRNA from 1 species
UUGAGUUGUAGCUCAGUGGUAGAGCAUAUGUUUAGCAUACAUGAGGCCCUGGGUUCAGAGCCCAACACUAAAG